AUUAAUACAUGUUGGAGCAGUACGUAUUCUUGCACGAUGCCCUGGUUGAGGCUCUUACAGAAGGAAAAGGUGUUGUGACGGCCGUCGAGUUUCCUGAGUAUUACAAAUGUUUAAAACAACUAUAUCAUUCUACUAAAAAAGAGUGGAUUGUGGGAACAAUUCCAGCUUAUCAACAAACUAUCGCCAGUUUUUGAUGACAGAAAUUUUCAAACAGCUAAACUCAAGGAGAAUAGAUGUAAAAAUAGAUAUACCAAUGCCUUUGCAAGUGACAACUACCGGUAUAGAACAUUUAUCUUAAGUGGUGACAAUAAUUACAUUAAUGCUAUACAAACACCGG